UUCGUAUAUAUGAUCGACAGGAACAUUUACCUCGCAUUAAUACGCGUGUUCACAUAACCAAAGAACUCUUGCAGCAGCAGCAGGCACUCGCGUUGUACGUCGUUCAUGUAUUUAUUUUCGAAUAAAACUCCCGUCUCUCAAAACAAUAUAUCCAUAGGAUAAAAGUGAAUAUAAUAGUCGAGUGCACACGUAUGUAUUCUCAUGAAUGAUCGCGGUGCACGACCGAACGUAUUUCUGCAAUAAUCAUCAGCGGUUAAAAAAUGAGCUUUAUAGAUAUUAGGAAGGCGGGAAAAAAUGUAAUGUGUGGCGCUGGUGAGCUCGGGAGUUUACGCUUCGCGCUCGUACACGCGCGUGCGUGUUAUUCAACGAGUUACGUUCCCGAGAAUAAUAUAUUCCAUUAUUACCGAUCCUUUAUCAUCAUUACGACCGCAAGAGCUCUAGCAGGCGAUCCUCGAGCCGUCGGGCCGAAAGGAGACCGGCCGUUACACUGGGAAUUAUUAAGGGACGCAACACCCGCGAGUGAGUUAUCGAACGGAGAGCGAAAUGCAAUAAAACACCUUGACAUUUUGGAUUCCAGGGUGAAAGUAAAUAUUUGCUCGGAUUCCUCGGGCUGUUCAGGCUCGAGAAUUUAGCAUGCGAUACACGCGCCCCAGCGCAACGCUACGAAACCUGCACUCGACUUCGUGCUACCUUUUUUCCACGUUUUUAUCUUUCUCCACGAAGAAAACGAGGCCGAAAAUUCUAGAGGAAAGUAUCAAGAAUUCAGUAUCCCGGGGACAGCAUACAACUGGAUUGCAGCAUUAAUUCCAAAUGUAUACCAGCCUCGAUAUAACAAUGGAGAAAGCAGGGGCUGCCGCAAAAGGUAUUAGUGCGUGUGCCAAACGAGCUUGAACCCGGGGAGCAGCCGGUUUAAAAGUGUACGCGACUCUUUCGCCCUGAUCAGCGUGCAGCACUGUGGAAAGGAGAAUUUGGCGUCUUGACGCGAAAUAUAAAAAAAAGCGAGCCAAGAUCUAUACUCGAGAUUGGCCGAUUUCCCCCGAUUUGUGAGGUUCAAGCGGUCGCCGUUUGUAGAGAAUCGGUUCGAUGGAAAAAAUGCAAAUUCCGUAACUUCUGGAGCAGAGUGCCGAUUGGAUUUUUUCUUUACCGAAACAAAUAUCGCUGCUUCGAGUUAAAACGUCUGCUUCGACGUGAGCAAGGGUAUUUCGACGAGGGAAAUUUAUUUGUCACGGACGAAACAAGCUUUCCGUCAAAUCGACGAAAUUCGAACGGCCAUUCGCCGAAGCGAGUGAAUUUUUGCGUAAGCAGAUUAUUCGUAGCUCGGUUGUUCCCUCAAAAUCACUUGUCUUCAGCGACUUCGUUCAAUCAACCACGGGGAAGUUGCCAGCCAGCAAAAAAUUGUCGCAUUUAUCAAAUAAUCGUUAAAAAAAAGUGGAUUUUAUUCGAGGAAGGAACUCGUCGAUUAUAAUCGUCUAUGAAAUGUGUCGAAGCAUUUAAAAUGUUUUAUGAAGAAUUUCUAUCGUUGCUGGUGGUUUCGAAACCGACGACCGAUUGGCUCAGGGACAAGAAUAAACCAAUUCUUCCGUCACUAUUCCACGUUUUGUUUGCGUCGUGCACUUUUGAGUACGCCACUCAACCAGAGUGAACAGAUGAAGAAAAUCAUUAAAAUCGUUGAAAUGCUAGAACUUUUUCUCCUCCCGAGGACAGGGAGGGGGUCUCGAGAGGCGCUGUUUUUCCAUUAACUUAUAUAAACCUCUGAACAAUCGACCAUAGAAAGGGAAAAGUAUGAGUGUAGUACGGAGCUACGAAAAAGCGAGGAUUAGUAGAACAAUAAAACGGAGAUUCAUAAAGUCUACCGUCGGGUCGAUCCUCCUACUAGCACAUUCCGUUUUCUCUUUCCUCAGGAAUAUAUAUUUCUCGUCAUCCGAGCUCAUGCGCCAGGCUAGCGAGGAGGGUCGUGCACGAGGUGCGAGUAUCUCGAGGCGAUCUGUUGCGGAGACGAAAAGGCGAUAGGCGUCUGCGAUAUCUCGGUUGGUUUCGCGCGCUGCAGUGUCUCCUUCAUAAUUAUCGUCCCGUAAUUAAGCGGGAAAGAGGCAUCAUUGUUUUUUCUUUUCUUUCACGGUGUACAUUUCCAUGUGAAGAAAUGAAAAGAGUUUCUUACGUUUAUGCUCCUCGUGGCGCGUUUCACCAGCAACAGUGGAGUCUCGAUCGAGUUACCGUGGAGGAAGGAAUGAAAGAAGAGCGCCGAGGGGGCUGCACAGAAGAUCAGGGAUUCCGCAGCAAAAUCCGAGCGCCGCGUUCUCUCGCUGGGUUUUCGGUUCUCUCCGCAGGAACACUGGAACAGCCGACGAGACAAAAUCGCACUCGACACACGCGAAAGUAUUUCUCGCAUGCUUCGUAAGCGUUGAAAAAAUCGCGAGUAAACUCGGCCCUCUCGCGAGGUUUUAUUCGAAAGCUUAUUUUUUAUUAUUCUAUCCAGCGUGCACGCGGCCACGAAUUAGUACAUAUUCGAGGUGUAAUAAAAUUCUUGCGUCGGUGUGCGUUGCGCGCGCGAGGCACGACAAAGGAUUCUCUCUCGGUUGGGAGUGCGUCGCUCAGUCUCGUAGACGCAUUAUAUCGAGGCGGUGGUUCACACAAAACUUUCACGAGGACGAUUAUACUGUGCGGAGCAGCGCCUCGUGUAAUCAUCGUCAUCAUUCUCACCGACGAGUCAACUGAGCUCUCUUAUCGUCGCGCUUUUUCCUCGGGGUUGAGCAAUACCAGUAGCUUCAAACUCGAUCGAUCAUGGACGAGUGUGUACACAAAUACGCCGGGGGAGAGGAGAGCGACGAGGCGCGCUGCGCACAUUGUGUACGAACGAACGAGCGGGACCGGAAGUUGCGCGUCGACAGUUGCCUCUGAGUUUGAGAUGGAAAUUCGAUAUUGGUCGGUUCUAUAAUCGAUCAAGGCACAUCACUAACAGUCCGAGCGAGGUUCGCGCAACUUCAACCGGUGGGACACUAGAAUGCACGAUUUAUGAGAAUCGAGAUCACUUUCGCGGCUGGACUUUCUUUUGGCAUCGUCAACGUGUCACACGGCGCACAGAUAUAUACACGUAACGGACAGAGCGUACACUAAAUUUCAUUGCUCGCCUGGUGCGCUCGUCGUAUCUUCGAACGCGUCGAAGAAAGUUUGAAUUUUGAGGAAACAAAAGAGAAAGGAAUUCUCUUGUUUUAUACGUGGACACCAUGAAUAAACAUGAGUUUAUGUAUAUUAUGAAUAAAUAAAAAUCUUGAGCAACACGUA